CUGCCAUUGGAGCCUGCAUACAAAAUAACACCACCUGGCAAGAUGGAAAUGAAGGGCUUAUCAGAUAUCCUGACCUCAGAGAAAAGGUCUCCAAGUCCUUGUCGCUGAGAAGCAGCCCCAAAGCAUGAUGCUCCUGCCACCAGGUUUAACAGUAGGGAUAGUAUUACGCAGAGUGGCUUCUCUCCUGACACUCUGCCAUAAAGGCCUGAUUGAUGGAGUGCUGCAGAGAUGGUUGUCCUUCUGGCAGGAUUAUUCUGAGAGAAUGCAAAG